AUGUAUGUAAAGUAUUUCAUCAUCAUUUUGCACAUGCUGUACACAGUACGUCUGUCCAGUGGUCAUGCAGAGAGCAGCGAGAGUGAUUCCACUCAAGUCAUCAGAGAGAGGAGGAAAAAGGAGACGAGAGGAAGGUCACAGUGCACCUCCUCUGAGAAGCAAAGUCACAGCUCAGAGGGGUCAUCUAGAUCUUCCAGUACUGUCAUCAUUGCCUCAGAUGCAGUGGUCCAAAGCUUUCAAAGGGAUGUCUCCUCAGGGAAAUGCAAGAAGAGGAGGCAAAGGAGUGGGGUACAAGUUGAACAAGUCAGUGAACCACUGAGCGCAGAGAAGGUGCUAAAGGAAAAAAACAGGAACAAAGGCGAUGAAUCUGCGAGUCAGCGUUCAAGUGAAGUGUCAGGAAGGGAAACUGAAGAAUCCACAGGCAAAAAUGCAGAAAAUGCAAGUGCUGAUGACAAAUUAGAGCAGUGCAGAAGAGAAGAUUCAGGAAGCAUUUGUAUACAGCUUAAAUGUAAAGCUAGGGAUGAAAAACAAAAGCAGAUUAUUAGCUCUGAGCAAAGCAGUUCAGAAGAAAAGGAUGAAGCCGACGAGCAUCAGGAAGAUAGAGGGGAGAAUAAAACUGAAGACAAAGAGGACAGCUUGGUAGGUGAUGAUCAAGAUGGAGAUGUGGAGGAUGAGCCUGAUGAAAAAGAAAAAUGUCUGAAAGAGAAGGAACAAAAAGAAAAAGAUGAGGAGGAAGCUGAUGAGAAAGAGGAGGAUGAGCUGGAGGAGCAGAAAUGCAAAGAUAAAGAUGAGCUAAAGAAAGAUGAUAGUGACGACAGAAGUUCAGCCUCCUCACAGGAUGAAGAGGAUGAGAGUGAACAAGACAAGACAGGAGAGGAUGAGGAGGGGUCCGAAGACGAAGAGCAGGGAGAGAGUGAGGAGGAGCAGAGGAGUGACAAGGAAGGAGAACCAGAGGAGGAGGAAAGCGAUUCAGAAGAAAGCGUAAUCUCUCCACAGGACAAGAGGUAA
rnacentral:lncRNA from 1 species